rnacentral:rRNA from 1 species
GACGAACGCUGGCGGCGUGCUUAACACAUGCAAGUCGAGCGAUGAAGCUUCUUCGGAAGUGGAUUAGCGGCGGACGGGUGAGUAACACGUGGGUAACCUGCCUCAUAGAGGGGAAUAGCCUUCCGAAAGGAAGAUUAAUACCGCACAAGAUUGUAAUAUCGCAUGAUAUAGCAAUUAAAGGAGCAAUCCGCUAUGAGAUGGACCCGCGUCGCAUUAGCUAGUUGGUGAGGUAACGGCUCACCAAGGCGACGAUGCGUAGCCGACCUGAGAGGGUGAUCGGCCACAUUGGGACUGAGACACGGUCCAGACUCCUACGGGAGGCAGCAGUGGGGAAUAUUGCACAAUGGGCGCAAGCCUGAUGCAGCAACGCCGCGUGAAUGAUGAAGGCCUUCGGGUCGUAAAGUUCUGUCCUAAGGGAAGGAUACAGUGACGGUACCUUAGGAGGAAGCCCCGGCUAACUACGUGCCAGCCGCCGCAGUAACAC